CCUACGGGUGGCUGCAGUGAGGAAUAUUGGUCAAUGGCCGGAAGACUGAACCAGCCAAGCCGCGUGCAGGAGGAAGGUGCUAAGAAUUGUAAACUUCUUUUGUCAAGGAGCAAACACAGGCACGUGUCCCUGGCUGAGUGUACUUGAAGAAAAAGCAUCGGCUAACUCCGUGCCAGCAGCCGCGGUAAUACGGAGGAUGCGAGCGUUAUCCGGCUUUAUUGGGGUUAAAGGGUGCGUAGGCGGUGUGUUAAGUCAGCGGUAAAAGCCCGGGGCUCAACCCCGGCCCGCCGUUGAAACUGGGGGUCUAGAGAGGGCGAGAGGUAGGCGGAAUGCGCGGUGUAGCGGUGAAAUGCUUAGAG
rnacentral:rRNA from 1 species